UACGAAGGGGGCUAGCGUUGUUCGGAAUUACUGGGCGUAAAGCGUGCGCAGGCGGCUUCUCAAGUCAGGGGUGAAAGCCCAGAGCUCAACUCUGGAAUUGCCUUUGAGACUGAGUGGCUUGAGUACGAGAGAGGUGAGUGGAAUUCCCAGUGUAGAGGUGAAAUUCGUAGAUAUCAGAAGGAACACCCAUGGCGAAGGCAGCUCGCUGGCCUACAACUGACGCUGAGGCGCGAAAGCGUGGGGAGCAAACAGG
rnacentral:rRNA from 1 species